UACGGGGGGAGCAAGCGUUGUUCGGAUUUACUGGGCGUAAAGGGCGCGUAGGCGGCCACGACAAGUCAGUUGUGAAAUCUCUGGGCUUAACUCAGAACGGUCAACUGAUACUGUCGGGCUAGAGUGCAGAAGGGGCAACUGGAAUUCUCGGUGUAGCGGUGAAAUGCGUAGAUAUCGAGAGGAACACCUGCGGCGAAGGCGGGUUGCUGGGCUGACACUGACGCUGAGGCGCGAAAGCUAGGGGAGCAAACAGG
rnacentral:rRNA from 1 species